GACAUUUCUCCAUUUCCAGAAUAUUCCUUGCACAUGACUUUGUUGAGGGGACAGCAGUCUGGUGAAGUUGCCAGGCCUAUUGAUUCCAAAUCCAUGAAACUGGUGAUUAUUUAGUGAACAGCCUUUGGCCAAGAGGAAGGAGACAUGUGACUGGCAUCCAAAUCACAGCACUUAUUUCGUGCUCCUGGGGAUGUCGUUUUUUCUUGGUUUCUACAGAGAUGAGCAUUAGGAUUUUAAGGAUGAGUAAAGGGGUCUAAAGAAGUGUCAUGGAAAAGGGAAACCAAGGAAAGGAGAAGGGAAGAAAAACAGCAAAAAAG
rnacentral:lncRNA from 10 species